CAGGUACCAAGGGAGUCAUUACUUUUUGUUAUUCCUGCUUUUGGGGGCAUAGUUUCUUGGGAGGGAGAAGGGGCACCCUUUGGGGAAUCUGAUCAGACCAUCACUCAUCAGUGUGCUGAAACUGGUGCAGAAUUUUAAUCUGAUUUACCUCUGGAAUGGAUCAUUUACCUCCAUCUAUCGAUUCAUCGUCAACUGAGAAUAGUAAAGGUCGAUCAGAUGUUUGUGGACAUUUUACUAAACAAGAACCUUAUUCUGAGAAGAAGGCUAAAUGCAAUUAUUGUGGUGAUUUGAUUAAAUAUUCGGGUGGAACAAGCGGGAUGAGGAAUCAUUUGAUGAGAUGCAAAGAAAAUCCUAAUAGAGAAGCAUUCAAAAGGCAAAAGCUUUCAUCAUCAACUACAGAAGUUAGUGUUAGCCCUUCACCAACUAUUUCUAAAUUUGACCAAAAUGCAUCUCGAAUGAAGUUGGUGAAGAUGUUUGUGCAGUCCGAGCUUCCUUUUCGAUUUGUGGAAAACGAGGGCUUCCGUGACUUUGUAUGGUCAUUGCAACCACGAUUUGAACUCCCAUCCCGCACUACAUUGAGGCGUGAAAUGUGGGCACUCUAUGAAGAGGAAAAAGCAAAGUUGAAAAUUUUUCUGUCAAAGCAGUGUGAGAGGGUUUGUUUAACCACAGAUACUUGGACUUCAAUCCAAAACCUAAAUUACAUGAGUUUAACAGCUCACUUUAUUGAUAAUGAUUGGAAACUUCAAAAGAAAAUUUUGAAUUUUUCUCAAACAGCUGGACAUUCAGGGGAGCUCAUUGCUAAACAUGUUGAGGCUUGUUUGAAUAAUUGGGAGUUGAAGCGAGUCCUUAGUAUCACUGUGGAUAAUGCUACAACAAAUGAUGUUGGGGUCCAAUACCUCAAAAGAAGGAUGUUAUCCUGGAAUUGUCUUGUCUUAAAGGGAGAAUAUGUUCAUAUGCGUUGUUGUGCGCAUAUAUUGGGUUUGAUUGUGAAGGAUGGCCUAAAAGAGAUCAAAGAUUCAAUUUCAAAAAUUCGGGGUGUAGUUAAAUAUGUGAAAUCUUCUCCCGCUAGAUUUGCUAAAUUCAAGGCCUGUGUUGAACAAGAAGGAAUUUCUUAUCAAGGUAUUGUUUGUCUUGACGUUGAAACCAGGUGGAAUUCAACUUACUUAAUGUUAGAGGCAAGCUUGAAGUACAAAGAUACCUUUGUCUUGCUAGAUAUGCAAGAUAAGAAAUUCGGUAUUGAAAUGGCCAAAAGUAAUGGUGGUGUGCCAUUAGAAGAGGAUUGGGAAUAUGCGAGGUCUAUUCUACCAUUUUUAAAGAUCUUUUAUGACUCUACCCUACGCAUUUGUGGUUCUUCUUAUGUCACCAGUCAUAUGUAUAUGAAUGAGGUGUUUGGAAUCGGUAAAAGGAUUCGACAAUAUUCUGAGAGUGGUGAUGUAAGCAUAAAACCGAUGGCAAUGAGGAUGAAGGGCAAGUAUGAAAAAUAUUGGGAAAAUCCUAAUGGAAUUAAUAUUUUAUUAUUGAUUGCUGUUGUGCUUGAUCCUAGGAGUAAGUUGGAUUUUGUUAAUUACUUCAUUGAUUAUCUAUUUGAAUCUAGUAUGGCCAAUGAAUUGAAAGCAAAAUUAUUGUCAUCCUUAAAAACUCUUUAUGAACAAUAUCAAGGUAUUGAGGAGGGUUCUCAAAGUAGUCAACAAGAACCUCAACUAGAUGAUGAUGAUGAUGAUCCUCAUGGCAUGCGUUUCUACCUAAGAGUUACACGUAGAUUUGAUUAUAUAUCAGAGCUUGAUAAAUAUUUGAGAGAGGAUCCUGAACCUUAUAUGUCAGUUGAGUUUGAUAUUUUACAGAAAGUCAACUCGACUAGAUUUCCAAUCCUUGCGAAUAUGGCUCGAGAGGUGUUAGCCAUUCCUAUCUCUACCGUAGCAUCAGAGUGUGCAUUCAGUAUAGGAAGAAGAGUGGUUAGUCCUUAUCGUAGUUGCCUAACGCCUAAAAUAGUGGAAGCGCUUGUUUGCACACAAGAUUGGUUAAAAGGAACAUCUUUCUCUAUACUUUUUGACGAGGAUCCUAAAGAACUUGAUAAAUUUGAGCAAGAAAUAACCUCUCAAGAUGAAGUGGGACCUUCAAGUGCUGCUAUUAAUUUCGAUGAUUGAAGUUUUGUCACAACUUGUUAGUUAUCUAAAGUACAUGUUUUAUUACUUGGAAGAUUACAUCACAGAAACCUUGUGGAUUUGGUGGGAUAUGUGGCACACAGGAAAACAUAUGCUUCUUUACACAUGAGCAAUGGCAGCCUUGCUUCCCAUUUGUAUGGUCACUAACUUUGGGCUUUCCAGACCUAAGAAAAGUGAUGUUUAUAGCUUUGGUGUGCUACUGUUUGAGCUCAUAACUGGCAGGAAUCCGUAGCUUAGGCUCAUGAAAUAUGUAAAACUAAGACUUGCCGUGAAAAGCCAUCAUUGGACUAGAACAGGCGAAUGCGCGUUGCUCUUGGUACAGCACGCGGGCUUCUAUACUUGCAUGAACAGUGCAAUCCAAAAAUAAUCCACAGGGAUGUUAAGGCUGCAAACAUUUUGUUAGAUGAAAGUUUUGAAGCUGUGGUGGGGGAUUUUGGUCUUGCAGGAAAUGCUCAGGUCCAAAAGGGAAUGAUUCUUGAUUGGGUUAGAACCUUAUACGAGGAGAAACAGGUGGAAGUGUUAGUGGAUAGGGAUCUGAGGGGAUGUUUUGAUCCUGUAGAGUUGGAGAAAGCAGUGGAUUUGUCUCUACAGUGUUCACGAAGAAUCUUCCUUUAUUAUUGAAGCCAUUGAGCUCUCUGGACCUCGCUGACACCAGGCCCUGGCUGAUGUUUUGGAAAUUGAUGUUCCAAAGUUGCAGAAGGAGAAGCCAAGAGAAGCUGCUCCAAUUGCCUCUAGUGCAUGUGAUCGUUGUGGUAGAGUCAUGUAUGAUUAAAGCUUUUGUUCAUCCAUCACAGCAACUUCAAAUGCUGGAGCUGUUAUAAAUGCAAACAGUUGGAGUGCACUCCCUGUUUAUAUAUUAGUGUUGUGUUGGGAUACAUUUUACUAUAGAUUCUAAUGUAUUGGAGAUUCUAAUGUAUUGGGCUUUGAAAUGAAUCCACUCCCAGGGGUCUGUCAAAAUCUUUAAACCUUUUAACAGAUUUUGGAGAUGUUUUAUUGUUUUGUUCAUAUAUUUUAUUGUUGAACAUGUGAGAAUUUUAUAUUGACAAAAUUAUAAGUUUCAUAA